rnacentral:rRNA from 1 species
UCAAGCAUGUAAGAGCGUAGGGUGGAUGCCUUGGCACUAAGAGCCGAUGAAAGACGUGAUAAGCUGCGAUAAGCUUCGGGGAGGAGCAAAUAUCCUUUGAUCCGGAGAUUUCUGAAUGGGGAAACCCACUUGAGUAAACCUCAAGUAUCCAUACGCCAAUCCAUAACGUAUGGAAGGGAACCCGGGGAACUGAAACAUCUAAGUACCCGGAGGAAAAGAAAGAAACAUCGAUUUCCUGAGUAGCGGCGAGCGAAAGGGAAGGAGCCUAAACUGCGGUGCGUGCACUGCAGGGUUAAGGACUGCAAUAAGUUAUACUCAGAGUUACCAGAACGGUAUUGGGAAAGCCGGCCAGAGAGGGUGAAAGCCCCGUAUGGGAAAACAAAGAGGGACAAGCAGUAUCCAAAGUACCACGAGACACGAGAAACCUUGUGGGAAGUCGGGGGGACCACCCCCCAAGGCUAAAUACUCCUUAGUGACCGAUAGCGCAUAGUACUGUGAAGGAAAGGUGAAAAGGACCCCGGGAGGGGAGUGAAAGAGAACCUGAAACCCUGUGUUUACAAGCUGUGGGAGCACGUUAAGGUGCAACCGCGUACUUUUUGUAGAACGGUCCGGCGAGUUGCCGGUGCUGGCAAGGUUAAGCGAUCAAGUCGUGGAGCCGUAGGGAAACCAAGCCUAAAUAGGGCCAAAGUCAGCACAGGCAGACCCGAAACCGGGUGAUCUACCCAUGUCCAGGAUGAAGCGGGAGUAAAAUCCCGUGGAGGUCCGAACGCACAUCCGUUGAAAAGGGUGGCGAUGAGGUGUGGGUAGGGGAGAAAUUCCAAUCGAACCCGGAGAUAGCUGGUUCUCCUCGAAAUAGCUUUAGGGCUAGCCUCGGUGCAAUCUGCUGGAGGUAGGGCACUGAAUUCCCGCGGGGGCGUCAAAGCCUACCAAAGGAUAUCAAACUGCGAAUGCCAGACAGAUGGUCACCGGGAGUCAGACCACACGAGAUAAGUUGGGUGGUCAAAAGGGAAAGAGCCCAGACCUGCAGCUAAGGUCCCAAAGUGCGUGUUAAGUGGAAAAGGAUGUGGGAUCUCGAAGACAACUAGGAUGUUGGCUCAGAAGCAGCCAUACAUUCAAAGAGUGCGUAAUAGCUCACUAGUCGAGAGGUCCUGCGCCGAAAAUGUCCGGGGCUGAAACACAACACCGAAGCUGCGGAAUUGCGAAUGCAAUUGGUAGAGGAGCAUUCUUAAUACCGACGAAGCUGUACCGGAAGGAGCAGUGGAGGGAUAAGAAGAGAGAAUGCCGGAAUGAGUAGCGAGAGGAAGGUGGGAAUCCUUCCGGCCGAAUAUCUAAGGUUUCCAGAGUAAAGCUGAUCUGCUCUGGGUAAGUCGGGGCCUAAGGCGAGGACGAGAGUCGUAGCCGAUGGACAACAGGUGGAGAUUCCUGUACUGCGGUAUGACAGAACUGUGGGGACACGUAAGGAAAGCGGAAGCCGGGAAUGGAAAGCCCGGUGCAAGCGGGGUACCAGUCACUUUGGCAAAUCCGGGUGGCAAUGGGAAGCCGUGAUGCGGAGCGAAAUAAAGUAGCGAAGUCCGUGAGCCAUGCGUCAAGAAAAGCCGCUAUCGUUUAUACCGUACCCGUACCGUAAACCGACACAGGUGGAUGAGGAGAGAAUCCUAAGGCCGGCGGAAGAAGUAUUGUUAAGGAACUCGGCAAAAUGACCCCGUAACUUCGGGAGAAGGGGUGCCUGCGAGAGCAGGCCGCAGAGAAGAGGCCCAAGCAACUGUUUAGCAAAAACACAGGUCUAUGCAAAACCGAAAGGUGAGGUAUAUGGGCUGACGCCUGCCCGGUGCUGGAAGGUUAAGGGGAGAGGUUAGCCGUAAGGCGAAGCUUUGAACUUAAGCCCCAGUAAACGGCGGCCGUAACUAUAACGGUCCUAAGGUAGCGAAAUUCCUUGUCGGGUAAGUUCCGACCCGCACGAAAGGCGUAAUGAUUUGGGCACUGUCUC